UAUCUGACCUCAGACAAACCUCUGAAAUCCCCAGGCAAGAAAGGAAGAGCACAAGCAGCAUGUGAAUUGGGAAGAGACUCGACAACCAUCCUAGAUCCAGUGAUAUGGCCCUAGGAGUCAAGACAUAAAACCAGAUCAUGGCAGGAACCAAGCGAUGACAAGUGAAUUUGUGCCUGAGCCUGGAAAACAGUAUUUCAAAUUUGAAGCCAGGGACCAUAUAGGAAUUCUGCAUCUAUCUGCAUCUUCCCACUUGCCCCUCUUCCC